ensembl:lncRNA
GAAAUGACCUCUAUUACAUCUGUGUGUGUUUGUGUGUGUGUUCAGCCCUCUCGUAAGGACACGGUAGAGCUAGCCAUGGCCAGCCGUGAUGUGUGUAAGGCCUUCUGGAAGACGUGUGUAGAGUACCAUGCCUUCUUCCGUCUCUCUGAGGAGCCCAAGUCCCGACACAAGUCCUUCCUCUACAGUAAAGGCUCUUGCUUUAGAUACAGGUCAGACCACUAGAUACGUAAGGGGGAGUUUAUUCAUUUGUCAAAAGCCUUUACCGUUUACUCAGUUUGAUAACACUGUGCUACCCCUCUCUCUAGUGGUAGGACGCAGAAACAACUGUUGGACUGUGUCAGGAGAGGUGGGAGGAAGAACCUGCCUUUUGAAAGGAAGUUCUACAAGGCCCACUAUGACAACAGGCAGUGCAGGUCCUCUCCUGACCUCCUCACUGAUGUCUCCAAACAGGUGUAUGAGCAGACCUGUGGGUUCCCCCAUGCUGGCUGUGCCCCGGGUGGGAAGCGCAGUCAGUCUGCUGUGGAGGUGCUGUUCACCACUAUGGAUCUGGAGGGCCCCCCGCCCCACUCUGCCCACACUUCUGCCUUCGGCCAGUCCCGCUCCUCUUCCUUCUCUGGGGCUGGGGCUGAGCCAGGGACCACAGCGCUACAGGGGCUGCGGUGCCACAGUGAGAGGGCCACCCAGAGCUUCAACCGAAGCAGCAGCAGUGUGGCUGAGGGGCCUCAGAGGGGCCGACUGCUGGCCAAUACACAGCAGCUGGUCCUGCUCUACCCCAGCCCUCACUCCCACCUUUACCCCUACCCCUGCCUGGAGCUGCACCCCAUUCUGCCCCUCUCUGCUCAGGCCUACAUGUCCGGCUGCUCCUCUUUCUCCUUGGACCACGCUCCAGCGCCACUGCCUCUGUCCCACUACGGCCCCAGGCCCGCUCCCCAGGCCGCCCUCCUGGACGACUUCAUCCGCUCCUCCAGUUUCUCCAACCCCUCCUCAUUGUCUCCCUGUCUGCGGCGCCAGCGUCAUCGCUACAACGUGCCUCCAGGAAUGGCCAUCGCUCCGGGGCUGUAUGCUGCCACUCUGGCUGGUUGUGGGGCUGGUCGAAGGGAAUUUGGCAGAGAGGAGACGGCAGGCCACUUCAGUGAUGACUCCAGCUACCAGGCAGGCCUGCCCAAGCGCUCCUGGAGCCAGUCUGAUAUGAAGGUCCUCCGACCCUCUGCCCCAGCAGCAGAGUUCCGCCCUCUAGGUCACUACCCUCACCUAUCACGCCGACACUCGCCUGCACGCCCAACACACCUCCCUCUUAACCUGUCCCCCAUGCCUGAACGGCCCGCCUCUGUGUGCGUGCUAGGGGCCGGGAGCAGGACAGGGAGUGGAGAGAUCAGCCUCAGUGACUCAGACGUCAUGUUCCCAUACUACUGCCCAGGGCUAGGGAAACUGGUGCGCUCUGGCCCCCUGGCUCGGAUGCGCAUUUCAUCUGGUAGUCUGCAGCUGGACGAGGGGGAGGAAGACUCCUUUAACUUAAGUGACCCUGAAGGCAGUGCAGCAACAAAGCGGUCAUGAGCCAAUCAGAGCGUUAGUACUGGGACAACCCCCUUGCUAUCCCUAGUCAAUCACAGCUUAUUCUCUUUGGUGGGCCUGUGGUCACAAUGGGAAGUCCUCCUGACCCAAUAAAUCUCUAAAAAAGGGUUGUGACCAUUCCCACAGGCCCUGAUGGUUCCGGUCACUAGUCAUAUUUGAAGAUGAAGGCAUGAGAGACACACCAAACUGAUGGACCUGACUUAAUAAGUAUGCCUUGAAGAAACCGUCAGACAAUUAACAUUUUUUGGGAAUAGACUUUACAUUAACAAAUGUAAUUACUUGCACCACAUAAGAUGAGUACUUUGAUGAAAGACAAAUAGCCCCGCUUCCCUGAGUCUUAAUAUUUGAGAGCUGAAUUUUGAUGGGCCCUAUAGGCUACUGUACUGGUCUCACCUCACUGUCAACUGUUAUUGGAAUAUUCCUAAUGAAACAAGUCUUUUGAAAAUGUGGUUUCUGCACAUAGACACUGGUUCCGAAGACUGCAAGGAUUGUGGAAAGAAUAAGACGUUUCUAUGAACUACUUAGCUGCACAUAACAGGAAAAGUGGACCGUCUACAGAAACAAAAUGUGAAUACUGUAGACUUGUCCACCCUUCUGCCGUUGAAAGAUACUGAUGCAAUUAAAUGUAUUUUCAUGGAAUACUGACACAAUCAAUAAAAAUAAAAAAAAC